UGUGAAUGUUUCUUCCCUCCUUUCCCCUUAAACCCGCUCCCUACAGAUGAUCAUCACUCCGAAGCACAUCUUGUCAAGCUAUUUAAAGUUACGCCAAUUUUAAAACAGAUGAAAACAGAACAAGAAAAAGUUUCAGUCAUUACCGUGGCCACAAGGGGGAAUCAUUAAUCUAGUUUGAUCACAGUGUGUUUAAACUCUGAAGUCCAGGUGCACAGAUUACCUCAAAACACCACCAUCUUGAAAAGAUGGAGUUGAUAAAAAGGGAUGGUAUGUCUGCAUACCAUCCCUUUUUAUCAGCUCCAUCAAAGUGAAUUUCACAUUACAUCAUCAAGGAUAAAUGCUGUUGUCUUUAAGGUCAAAUCAGGACAACAACUGUUGGCUUUAAGAGUCAGACUGAAGACUAAAUGCCCAUAUUGUUUAUGCAGAAAGACAGAAGAUAAAUCUUAAAAAGCUAGAGGCGACAAUGUAAGAGAAAAACAUUUGCAAAAAAAAAGAAAAAAUGAAAGAGGUGCUCUGUGAUAGCAAAGGGCUCACUUCAAUAGAGAUAGAGACACAAAGACAUUUUGUUCUGCUCUGAUAUCACAGGAUGCAGGGUUUUGUCUGAUCAGAGCUGCAGGAGGAUUGCAUAUUGAGUGUAGUGAAAUCAGUGUUGUUACACUCACCACUGUACAUGUUCUUGUGCAUGCAAGUGUUUCCUGUAAAUAAACACAUUGUGGUACACCCCAUGAAAAUUCACAUUAGCCACCACCACCUAGAGCAAAGUUGUUUUUUUUAAACUGGUUUUGCUGUUAUGGUAAGGCAUCUAAGAUGGUGCAGACUUUGAACAAAACAGAUACCCAGGAACUUCCUGUGUGGUUACAAUCAAAUGGCGCUGCUCUGUCGAUUGUGUUGUUCAGCUACAUGAUGAAUUUCAUCAGAACACCAGUCUUUCAUUGUACCCUUUGACAAAUAUGUACCUGCUGUAUGCUAUUUAACUUAUACAUUUAUUUAUUGAGCAUCCAUUAAAUAUAAUUACAACAAGAUAAAUUCCCUGUGAUUUAUUAUAGCAAAGAAGAAUAUCUGCAUUGCUGAAGGUAGAAACACAUAUUGUAAUAUGAAUAUUUCUCAGAUGUUUAUUUAUUAAUUAUCGGUUCAGUUAACACGGCCUCAUCCAAGUCCAUCAAAUACCAAAGCUGCUUUGACAGGCAUCUCAUGCCAAAGCAGAACACUGUGGCAGUGUCAAACUAUUUUGUUUGUUUGGUUUUUAGUUAAGGAAGCUACUACUAUACAAACAUUGUUGCUAAGAUGUGUACUUCAUAAAUUAUGUUUUAUAUUAGUUUGUUCAAGGACGUGUAGAUGUAAAUGAAUAUACAUCUUGCAUGAACUCACCGUAGAUCAUACACUUGUUAUUUACUGACUGUUGACUUGUGGCACGGUGAGUCUGCCUCCCUCUUUGCAAAAUACGGUGUGCUGUGGUGCUGCUGUGAAACCACAUACCCAGCUUCUCAUCUUGGCCUCUUUUGCUUCAUUAUCUAAGCUUCAUCUUAAUCUUCAGGCUGUUCCUUGAGUCAGGUAGCAGGACCAUGGAAGAAAAUGUGAUCGCGGAGGAGUCUGUGAUCAUGAUGGAAAGACAAACCAUGGCUGACCUUGACAACAGGGAUCCUAAGGAAAUCCAUGAGGAGGGAGUCAGAGUGGAGUUUGCAGAUGUGAUUGCAGAGCCUGAUGGCCUACACAGUCUGGAUUUCAUGUGGAAAGUCAGCUACCACACCUUCACACAGACAAGGCGCUGGAUCUAUCGAUUCUUUACUCUCAUUUUGGGCUUCCCUUUGUCACUGAUCUGGGGCUUGCAGUUUGCUUGUCUGUCAUUCUUGCACAUCUGGAUUGUUACGCCCUGCCUCAGAACCAUCCAGUUUAAUUUUUAUUGUCUGGUUAGACCCCUCCUCCAGCUCAUACGUGUCUGUCUUCUCCCGCUCUUCAGGGUAACGGGAAAGAUACUUUCCAAAGUGAAAUUGAUUAUACGCAAGGAGGCCU